rnacentral:rRNA from 1 species
AACGAACGCUGGCGGCAGGCUUAACACAUGCAAGUCGAACGCCCCGCAAGGGGAGUGGCAGACGGGUGAGUAACGCGUGGGAAUCUACCCAUCCCUACGGAACAACUCCGGGAAACUGGAGCUAAUACCGUAUACGCCCUGAGGGGGAAAGAUUUAUCGGGGAUGGAUGAGCCCGCGUUGGAUUAGCUAGUUGGUGGGGUAAAGGCCUACCAAGGCGACGAUCCAUAGCUGGUCUGAGAGGAUGAUCAGCCACAUUGGGACUGAGACACGGCCCAAACUCCUACGGGAGGCAGCAGUGGGGAAUAUUGGACAAUGGGCGCAAGCCUGAUCCAGCCAUGCCGCGUGAGUGAUGAAGGUCUUAGGAUUGUAAAGCUCUUUCACCGGUGAAGAUAAUGACGGUAACCGGAGAAGAAGCCCCGGCUAACUUCGUGCCAGCAGCCGCCGUAACAC